rnacentral:tRNA from 2 species
GACUCCGUAGCUCAGCUGGAUAGAGCGUUUGGCUACGAACCAAAAGGUCGGGGGUUCGAAUCCCUCCGGGGCCACCA